CAGUAGCCGCGGGAAUACGUAGGGUGCAAGCGUUAAUCGGAAUUACUGGGCGUAAAGCGUGCGCAGGCGGUUAUAUAAGUCAGAUGUGAAAUCCCCGGGCUCAACCUGGGAACUGCAUUUGAGACUGUAUGGCUAGAGUGUGUCAGAGGGGGGUAGAAUUCCACGUGUAGCAGUGAAAUGCGUAGAGAUGUGGAGGAACACCGAUGGCGAAGGCAGCCCCCUGGGCCAAUACUGACGCUCAUGCACGAAAGCGUGGGGAGCAAACAGGAUUAGAUACCCCUGUAGUCCCUGUCUCUUAUAC
rnacentral:rRNA from 1 species